rnacentral:rRNA from 1 species
AUUGAACGCUGGCGGCAUGCCUUACACAUGCAAGUCGAACGGCAGCACGGGAGCAAUCCUGGUGGCGAGUGGCGAACGGGUGAGUAAUAUAUCGGAACGUGCCCAGUCGUGGGGGAUAACGUAGCGAAAGCUACGCUAAUACCGCAUACGAUCUAUGGAUGAAAGCGGGGGAUCGCAAGACCUCGCGCGAUUGGAGCGGCCGAUAUCAGAUUAGGUAGUUGGUGAGGUAAAGGCUCACCAAGCCGACGAUCUGUAGCUGGUCUGAGAGGACGACCAGCCACACUGGGACUGAGACACGGCCCA